rnacentral:rRNA from 1 species
CCUACGGGAGGCAGCAGUGGGGAAUAUUGGGCAAUGGAGGAAACUCUGACCCAGCAACGCCGCGUGAAUGAUGAAGGUCUUCGGAUUGUAACGUUCUUUUCUAAGGGAAGAAGAAAGUGACGGUACCUUAGGAAUAAGCCUCGGCUAACUACGUGCCAGCAGCCGCGGUAAUACGUAGGAGGCGAGCGUUAUCCGGAAUGACUGGGCGUACAGGGUGCGUAGGUGGUUUGGCAAGUUAGUAGCGUAACUCCAAGGCUCAACCUUGGAACUACUACUAAAACUGUUGGACUUGAGUGCAGGGGGGGCAAGCGGAAUUCCUAGUGUAGCGGUGGAAUGCGUAGAUAUUAGGAGGAACACCAGUGGCGAAGGCGGGUUGCUAGGCUGUAACUGACACUGAGGCACGAAAGCGUGGGGAGCAAACAGGAUUAGAUACCCGGGUAGUC